rnacentral:ncRNA from 1 species
CCUUAUCAAGAGAGGCGGAGGGUACAGGCCCGAUGAAGCCCGGCAACCUGCGGCGAUGCAGCCGAAAGGUGCCAAUUCCUGCGGCAUGGAGCCGGCAGAUGAGG